UACGAAGGGGGCUAGCGUUGCUCGGAAUCACUGGGCGUAAAGGGAGCGUAGGCGGAUAGUUUAGUCAGAGGUGAAAGCCCAGGGCUCAACCUUGGAAUUGCCUUUGAUACUGGCUAUCUUGAGUACGGAAGAGGUAUGUGGAACUCCGAGUGUAGAGGUGAAAUUCGUAGAUAUUCGGAAGAACACCAGUGGCGAAGGCGACAUACUGGUCCGUUACUGACGCUGAGGCUCGAAAGCGUGGGGAGCAAACAGG
rnacentral:rRNA from 1 species